rnacentral:rRNA from 1 species
GACGAACGCUGGCGGCGUGCCUAAUACAUGCAAGUUGAGCGCUGAAGGUUGGUACUUGUACCAACUGGAUGAGCAGCGAACGGGUGAGUAACGCGUGGGGAAUCUGCCUUUGAGCGGGGGACAACAUUUGGAAACGAAUGCUAAUACCGCAUAAAAACUUUAAACACAAGUUUUAAGUUUGAAAGAUGCAAUUGCAUCACUCAAAGAUGAUCCCGCGUUGUAUUAGCUAGUUGGUGAGGUAAAGGCUCACCAAGGCGAUGAUACAUAGCCGACCUGAGAGGGUGAUCGGCCACAUUGGGACGGAGACACGGCCCAAACUCCUACGGGAGGCAGCAGUAGGGAAUCUUCGGCAAUGGACGAAAGUCUGACCGAGCAACGCCGCGUGAGUGAAGAAGGCUUUCGGAUCGUAAAACUCUGUUGGUAGAGAAGAACGUUGGUGAGAGUGGAAAGCUCAUCAAGUGACGGUAACUACCCAGAAAGGGACGGCUAACUACGUG